UCAGAUGUUUUGGCCAUUUGAGGAGUAAACCAGUGAAUGGAAGAUCUCUCUUUUUCUCUGUAACUCUGAUUUCCAAUAAAAUAAAUAAAUCUUUAAAAAAUUCAUAUCAUCAGGAAAAUGUAAACAAGCUUUCUGAAUUUUGAUAUCUGAUCCUUUGACGUUACAGGAGCAAUCUUUGUUUUUCUGCAUUGCAGAUGAUAACCAACCUGUUCCCUAUGUUCUACCGUCUCCUCCCAUGAUACUGAAGUUAUCUGAUAACCAUAAGGAAGCAACACAUACAUCAGGAUGUCAGGCUGCACUGUACCAAGGCAAAGCCUGUUUCUUUUAGCUGUGUCUUGGUCUUCAACACAGGUCCCUCUGUGUAGAAGAUGCUGUGUAAUACAACAGGGAACUAGGUUUCAGAAUUUAAUGCAGGAGAAAUUUUUUUUUUCACAAACAAACCCUUGAAGAUUCUCCAUUAUUUAAGUCAUAUGUCUGCAUAUGUGGAUAGGUACAUAGUGUGGAGCUUUCCUGGAAUGAAAAAAGGAAAGAGAUACUUGUCUUCUGAACAAGAUGGGCAGGGAGAGAGCCCGAUGACCCCUGGUGCUUAAACAGUAAGGCAGGGGAGACUUGAGCAAGAGCCAUGAGGUAUGAAACUCUCAUCCUUAACCAUUUCAUUGAGAAAAUUUACUCUAGUUUAUUUCUUUUGAGUGUCACAAUUUACAUUUUUAAUUUGUUUUAUAUUGGAUUCAAUUGUGCUGUAGACAUGCUGGAAAUUGAUGAUAUAAAACAUACUACAAACUAAUUCUUAUUUGUAUUAAUACAUCAAUGAUGAUUUGGAAAAUAUGUCAAUUAAUAAACAUAGAUGAAUACAAUUUUAGAUUUUCCUAAACCAGUUCUGUUUACCAAAAUAAAAUUUUCAAUUGAUUUAAAAAUCAAAUGUCAUUCAUUCCUAAGGUUUUCCAUUUCACUCCUAUAUGGUGAACUUAAAAAUAAUCACAGAUCCUUAAGACUGUGGUUCCAUUUGAUUAUUGCUUAGAGCCCUUCCCUAAAUUCCUGCUGAACUAUGGUCUUUUUACUUUUUACUGGCUGAACUCUAUUUCAUGGAGUGUUGAGCUUUUGUCUAUAAUGUAAAUUAAACAUAUAUUCUCUCAAAAAUCAAAAAAUAAAGGAAGAAGAAAGAAAGAGUAAAGGAGAGAAGGAGGAAGAAGGGGAAGGAAAAUAUCACUAUAUUCUUAGAAUUAAUUCUGUGAACUACUUUGAAUCUGUUCUCUUUGUAUCCAUAUUGCCUUAAUAUGAGAAUUGUGUUAUAGUAAGCAUCAUGCAUUUGCUGUGAUCCUGAGAAUUUAAGGUAUUCAUAAAUUCCUUGAAAAAAGAUUUUCUAGGCAAUAUGUGUUUGUGCAAACACCUGGCAAAAUUUUAGAUGUCCCAUGUGGUAGUUGUGGAUGAAAUUCACUGGACUUGGUCGUCUAAGCAUGGAUGUUUGCCAAAGCUUUGAUACAAGUGCUUACUCCCAAGAGCAGCCAUCUUGCAUCUUCCAUUACCUAAAAUGCAUCCUGACAUUCCAGCCUUGAGAUCAGAAGCAACAGCCACCCAGAAAAUGCCGCUAUUUUUGUCUUUCACCUUUCUUUUAAUAUUUAUUCAUGGAGGCAAUUUUUCCCUCUCAUAACUGAAAAUCCAUGCAGAUCCAUGUAUUUUCACCUCUGGGAAAAAUUAUAAUGAUUUUAAGAUUCAAAUAUAGCUAUAAUUCUAUAAUUAAAGGUUACUGCUACCAUAUAAUAAACUUUUAACUUGAGUUAAAUUUAAAUUCUUGCCCUGCUGAGACCUUCUACAGAUAGAAAAUUGAAGAAGGGGACUUGCUUCUGUUUCUCUCUUUCCAAGCCUUUGUUUCCAACCUUCUUCUCCCAUUUUACUGAGUCUCUCAACUCCAUAAAAGCUACGGUCUGUGGGCUGGCUGAGAGAGCAGAGCAGAACUGUCCUUGUAUUCUGGAUUUCACUGAUGUUUUUCUGGUGUCUAUGUUGGUUUUCAGAAGGUCUCACCGUUGUUAGGGACCUAUGAUGUCUAUUUCCUUCAUUCAUAUGUUGCUGAAUAUUUCUCGGUGGUUCACAGUUUAUGAUUGCUUAUAGUCCUUGGAAUUUUGUGAUUUUCUUACAGGCUCUCUUGUUGGAGUCCUUUUGCCCUUGUGUUCCAAAUAUGGACUCAAAUUCUCUGUGGCUCCUUUCAUCAAGAUGCAGAACCCAGUUACCUAUCACAUGAAUCUGACUUGGCCUUGUGGCUUGCUCUGAUGUAAUACAAAAGUGCUGGAAUUGUGUUAUGAAUACCAGGAUUCUGUCCAAUCAUGUGAAGAAGACAAAAAUGAAAGAAACUUGGAUAUACAGGGAGGCAUCCCAACUACUUCAGUCAGUGAAUGAAGACAUUUUAUGCUGUUCUGUCCCAUCCAAGUUGCCAGUUGACUGAGCAACACUCAAGAAUGAGCUCAAGUGUGGGUGUCAUAAGAACUGCCCAGUAAGUCCAAAGACCUGAGAGAAAAUAGGCUGUUCUUUUAAGCCACAUUUUUAUAUCAAAGAUUUACCUUACUGGCUGACUUUAUUGGUUAGCACUCAAGAACUCCAUGGCCCUGUGUGAUCCACAAGACUACUCACGCCUGCUUUAUUCUAAAAAACUAUGUGUGUGCAGCUGAUUUCUAUGCAGUUUCCAGAGGGGGAAGUUUUCCCUUUCUGUUUUUGGUUCCUUAGGCUGGACCCUGGCACAAACCCAUAUCCUUCCAAGGAUUGAGGCAUGCCUGAGUCUCCCUGGAGUUCUUGUGGAAACUUCCAUAGAUAGAUUUGAGGGAAUAUUGCCCCAUGUCUACCUCUUCAUUUUCAAAGAAUCCCUCUCAAAUUUUCUUUUGUUCCCAUGUAGAUAAAGGAUAUAAUAUUGCAUAUGCGACUUUUAGCUGCUGGUCUACAAUCCCUCAUAUGCAAUUCUUUAAGGAAAUAGAACAGAAUGAACAGAAUAUAUAUAUGUAUAGCAAUCAUAUAAUAAUUAUGCAUACAUAUAUAAUUAUUUGGCAACAAUGUCAUGAGACAGACAUAAAAUGAGGCGUUUUGUAGCCUUUAGAAAUCUUUAAUUGUCCCACUUCCUAGGAAUAUGUAUGCAUGCAUUUUGUUGGAGAAUCUCAAUAUAUAACAUUUACCAGUGGCAUAUAAUAUGUGGAAUAAAAAUUGGAAUUAUUAAAUACCUAUUUCCCAAAAAUAUACCAGAAAAAGGACUCUACAGCUCUUUAAUGGACCCUUUUACUUUUAUUUAUUUUUUUUAAGUUUUUUAUUCAAGUUAUACAAGUUUCAUGUAUUUCAUAUAUACAGAUUUAGAAACACAGUGAUAUUUCCCACUUUACCCUUCCUCCUGCCAAUUUCCAACCAUUCUUUCUCCUUCCUCUCCCAUUCCCACUACAAAUUUUUACAAAGAUAUAUUUUCAGUUGACUUAUUGAUUGUAAAGUAAAUGCUACACUAACUAAAUGAGUUCAACAAAUAGUAUGAAGAAAAAAAAAACAUAUUCCUCAACAGAAGAGACAAGGGUUGCAAACACUCAAUGACUCUCAAAAUGUCCAAUUCACUCCAGUACAUUACAUUUUAGAUACUCAUUUAGUUACCUCAGAUCAGUGAAAACAUGUGGUGUCUUUUGGGAAUUGCUUAUUUCACUAAAUGUAAUGAUUUCCAUUUGCAUCCAUUUUGUUGUAAAACAUAGAAUUUCAUAUCUUUUUAGAGUUGAGUAGUACUCCAUAGUGUAUAUAUAUCAUACUUUCCUUAUGCAUUCAGCAAUUGCUGGACAUUUGGGUUGAUUCCAUAUCUUAGUUAUUGUGAAUUGUGCUGCAGUGAACAUAGGGGUACAGAUAACUCUUUCAGAUGCUGAUUUCUUUUGGUUUGUGUUAAUUUCCAGGAGUAAGAUGGCUGGGUCAUAUGGUAGAUCUAUUUUCAGAUUUCUGAGGAAUCUCCAUACUGUCUUUCAUAAUGGUUGUGCUAUCUUACAUUCCCACCAGCAGUGCAUUAAGGUACAUUCUACCCCCAUCCUUGCCAGCAUGUAUUUCUUUUUGAUUUUUGGAUGUUAGCCAUUCUAACUGGGGUGACAUGAUGCUUCAUUGUGGUUUUGAUUUUUCAUUUCUCUGAGCAUUUUUUCAAGAGUCUAUUGGCCAUUUGAAUUUCCUCACUUGAAAACUUUCUGUUCAAGUCCUUCACCCAUUUCUUACUGGAUUGUAUUUUUAUUGUUGAAUUUAUAGAGCUCUUUAUACAAUCUGGAUAUUAACCCUUUCUAAGUCUCAUAGUUUGCAGAUGUUCUCUAAUAAUUUUAUGGUAUCAGAUCAUAGAUUCAGGUCCUUGAUCCAUUUUGCAUGCAUUUUUUGUGUAGAUGAAGGUAGGGAGCUAGUUUCACACGUUAGCAUGUAGAGAUCCAAUUGUCCCAGCACCAUUUGUUGAAGAGACUGUCCUUGCUCCAGGGAUUGAUUUUAGCUCCCUUGUCAAAGAUAAGUUGGCUAUAGAUGCAUAGAUUGAUUUCUAUAGUUUCUAUUCUGCUCCAUCAGUAUAAGCAUCUGUUUUUGUGCCAGUACCAGGCUGUUUUGAGUAUAACUGUCCUGCAGUAUGUCUUGAAAUCAGGUAUUGGAUGCUUCUGGCUUUGUUUUUGUUGUGUAAGAUUGCUUUAGCUAUUCAGGGUCUCUUGUAUUUCCCUAAGAAUUUUAGCAUCACUUUUUAUUGAUCUGAGAAGAAUGUCAUUGGUUAUUUUGAUUGCUAUUGCAUUGAAUCUGUAAAUUGUUUUCAGUAGUAUGGACAUUUUGACGUUAUUGAUUCUUCCAGUACAGGAACAUGGAAGAUUUUUCCAUUUUUGUGUCUUCUAUUUCUUUAAUGUUUUUCAAUUUUCUUCAUAGAGAUCUUUAACAUUCUUGGAUAAAUUUUUUCCAAGUAUCUAAUUUUUUUGUACUAUUGUGGAUGUGCUUGAUCUUAAAAAUUCUUUCUCAGACGUGGUAUUGUCUUUAUAUACAAAAGCUAUUGAUUUUGGUGAGUUGAUUCUAUAUCCUGCCACUUUACCAAAUUCUUUAAUGAGUGCUAAUAGUCUCUCAGUGGAAUCUUUUGGAUCUGCUGUAUAUAGAUUCAUGUCAUCUGCCAAUAGGGAUAAUUUGACUUCCUCCUUUCCAAUUUGUAUCCCUUUGAUUUCUUUUUCUUGCCUAAUGGCUCUGGCUAAAACUUCCAGGAUUAUAUUAAAUAACAAUGGUGAGAGUGGUCAUCUUUGUCUGGUUUCAGAUCUUAGGAAGAAUACUUCCAGGUUUUCCCUAUUCAAUAGGAUGCUGGUUGUGGGUUUGUCAUAAAUUGUCUUGAUUUUGUUGAAGAAUGUCCCUUCUGUGCCUAAUUUGCUUAAGGUAUUUAUCAUGAAAGAAUGUUGCAUUUUAUGAAAUGCUUUCUUUGCAUCUAUCAAGAUGAAUAAUCAUAUGCAUAUGCAAAAACCAUAUGGUUUUUGUUCUUCAGUAUGUUAAUGUGAUGUAUCACAUUUAUUGAUUGUGAAUGUUGAACCAUCCCUUCAUACCAGGGAUAAAUCCCACUUGGUCUGGGUGAAUAAUCUUUCUGAUGUGUUGUGGGAUUUAAUUAGCUACUAUUUUGUUGAAGAGUUUUGAAUCUAUGCUCAGCAGGGAUAUUGAACUAUAGUUUUCUUUCUCUGUUUUAUCUUUUUCUGGUUUUUAAAAUUAAGGUGAUGCUGGCCUCAUAGAAAGAGUUUGAGAGGAUUCUCUUUCAAUUAUUUUGAAUAGCUUGAGAAGGAUUGGAACUAGUUCUUUAAAUGUUUGCUAAAAUUCAGCAGUGAAGAUGUCCAGUCCUGGACUUUUCUUUUUUGGGAAGGUCUUUAUUACUGAUUCAACAUCCAACUUGGUUAUUGUUCUGUUUAGGUUAUCUAUGUCUUAAUGGCUCAAUUUAUGUAGGUUGUUUGUAUCCAGGAAUCUUUCCCUUUCUUCUAGGUUUCCCAGUUUGUUGGCAUACAGCUCUUGGAAGUAAUUCCUGAUGAUUCUUUUUAUUUCUGUGAUAUCUGUUGUUUCAUUUCCUUUUUAAUCUCUGAUUUUAUUGAGUCGGGUCUUCUCACCCCCACCUUGUUUAUCUAGUUGGGCCAAUGGUGUACCAAUUUUGACUAUUAUGUAUUGUGGUGAAUAUCUUUUCUGGUCAUGCCUGUUAAGAGUUCCAUGUGCUUCCUGUAGUUGGAUGUCCUUUUCUAUCUCUAAAUUGGAAAUGUUUUCUGUAAUUAUUUCACUACCUAAGCCUUCUAAUCCAUUCUCUCUUUAUAGACCCUCAAGAACUUCCAAGACCCAUAUGUUGGGUCAGUUAAUAGUAUCCCAUAAAUCCUCAACACUGAGUUUAAGUUUUCUAAUUUCUUCUUUGUGUGUGUGUGUGUGUGUGUGUGUGUGUGUGUUUGGUCUGACUGAAAGAUUUC